GAAAUGCGAUAAGUAGUGUGAAUUGCAGAAUUCAGUGAAUCAUCAAAUCUUUGAACGCACAUUGCGCUUCCUGGUAUUCCGGGGAGCAUGCCCGUUUCAGAAUCAUUAAAUCCUCAAACCAGGUUUACUUGGUUUGGAUGUGGUGAGUCUGGGAGUUUUUCCAGUCUUACCGAAAAUGAUUGUGCAUCACCGGUGAAUCAUCCUGGUAGCUUCAACUGCAACAGAUUUAUCUAUUCAUUUGAUGACUACCAUGUUGGUGAUUGUUACUGUGUGUGCCUCAACUUAGUACACGGAGUGGCAGCUCAGUUAGAGCUGUUCUCUGAUAACUUGGUCUGAAAUCGGGCAAGAAAACCCGCUGAACUUAA
rnacentral:misc_RNA from 1 species